AUUGAACGCUGGCGGCAUGCCUAACACAUGCAAGUCGAGCGGAUGAAGGGAGCUUGCUCCUGGAUUCAGCGGCGGACGGGUGAGUAAUGCCUAGGAAUCUGCCUGGUAGUGGGGGAUAACGUCCGGAAACGGGCGCUAAUACCGCAUACGUCCUGAGGGAGAAAGUGGGGGAUCUUCGGACCUCACGCUAUCAGAUGAGCCUAGGUCGGAUUAGCUAGUUGGUGGGGUAAAGGCCUACCAAGGCGACGAUCCGUAACUGGUCUGAGAGGAUGAUCAGUCACACUGGAACUGAGACACGGUCCAGACUCCUACGGGAGGCAGCAGUGGGGAAUAUUGGACAAAGGGCGAAAGCCUGAUCCAGCCAUGCCGCGUGUGUGAAGAAGGUCUUCGGAUUGUAAAGCACUUUAAGUUGGGAGGAAGGGCAGUAAGUUAAUACCUUGCUGUUUUGACGUUACCAACAGAAUAAGCACCGGCUAACUUCGUG
rnacentral:rRNA from 1 species